rnacentral:rRNA from 1 species
GAUGAACGCUGGCGGCGUGCCUAAUACAUGCAAGUCGAGCGAACGGACGAGAAGCUUGCUUCUCUGACGUUAGCGGCGGACGGGUGAGUAACACGUGGAUAACCUACCUAUAAGACUGGGAUAACUUCGGGAAACCGGAGCUAAUACCGGAUAAUAUUUUGAACCGCAUGGUUCAAAAGUGAAAGACGGUCUUGCUGUCACUUAUAGAUGGAUCCGCGCUGCAUUAGCUAGUUGGUAAGGUAACGGCUUACCAAGGCAACGAUGCGUAGCCGACCUGAGAGGGUGAUCGGCCACACUGGAACUGAGACACGGUCCAGACUCCUACGGGAGGCAGCAGUAGGGAAUCUUCCGCAAUGGGCGAAAGCCUGACGGAGCAACGCCGCGUGAGUGAUGAAGGUCCUCGGAUCGUAAAACUCUGUUAUUAGGGAAGAACAUAUGUGUAAGUAACUGUGCACAUCUUGACGGUACCUAAUCAGAAAGCCACGGCUAACUACGUG